rnacentral:lncRNA from 1 species
GUAAUUGGUAAAAUAAAAUAUCUUUAUAAUAUAAAACAACCCAAAUGGGAUCAUAAAGUCAGACUUGACUAAGCUACAACAAAAUGGUUUCAAGGGUAUCGAGAGUUCCUGGCAAAGAAUUCUAUCUCUCCAUGGAGAUUAGAAUCUUUUCUGAAGCUUAGUCUUAGAGACUCACCUGGAGACCAGAGUUAGAUCCAAGUCUUCCUAACUGAGAGGUCAUCUCCCUCUCCCCCACACCACACAGAUUCUUGCCUAAAAGAAAACCAAGAGCUCUUCAUGAACACUGGGUGCUCAUUAGACACAGAGGCUUCAUUAAUGAGGAUUACUGUCAGAAACCAUCACCAAGAAGCAUCCUGUCCAGCAAGAGCCUACAUUCGUUGGACUCCCCAAAGUCUUCGAACAACAGUGCCUGUGCUACAAAUACCCACGUCUGGGUCCAGUCUUCCUUCCUUACAGAGAAGAGGAAAAUGAGAGAGAGCUUAAGUGAUUUUCCCAGGAUCAUUCAACCAGUAAGUGCAUCUCGCACUUUUUCCUGUGACUUGGAUAAAAAUCGUAGAUGGCAGGCUCAUCGAAUAUUCAAACAAGUAUCUAAGGCCACUCCCCAGCAGGAUACUAGAAGGCCAGCUCCUCAGGGAAGAGAUGCAUAGAAAGGCCACCAGACCAAGGAAAGGAGCCUAGGUUGGGAUGAGCAAAUGGAAACAAGAACCUACAAAAUAAAAUAAAAUAACUGCUCUCCUGCA